GACGAACCGAGCGAACGUUGUUCGGAAUAACUGGGCUUAAAGGGCGCGUAGGCGGGCCGCCAAGUUCGAGGUGAAAUCCUCCGGCUCAACCGGAGAACUGCCUCGAAUACUGGAGGUCUCGAGGGUGGUAGGGGCACGCGGAACUGUGGGUGGAGCGGUGAAAUGCGUUGAUAUCCACAGGAACUCCGGUGGCGAAGGCGGGUCUCUGGGCCGAUACUGACGCUGAGGAGCGAAAGCGUGGGGAGCGAACAGG
rnacentral:rRNA from 1 species